UACGAGUACCCCGAGCGUUGUCCGGAAUCAUUGGGCGUAAAGGGCGCGUAGGUGGCUUCUUAAGCGUGCGGUGAAAGCCUGGGGCUCAACCCCGGGUCGGCCGUGCGAACUGGGGGGCUGGAGCACUGUAGAGGCAGGCGGAAUUCCGGGUGUAGCGGUGGAAUGCGUAGAGAUCCGGAAGAACACCGGUGGCGAAGGCGGCCUGCUGGGCAGUUGCUGACACUGAGGCGCGACAGCGUGGGGAGCAAACAGG
rnacentral:rRNA from 1 species